rnacentral:rRNA from 1 species
CGCGUAGGCGGCCUGGUAAGUCUGGAGUGAAAGUCCUGCUUUUAAGGUGGGAAUUGCUUUGGAUACUGCUGGGCUUGAGUGCAGGAGAGGUAAGUGGAAUUCCCGGUGUAGCGGUGAAAUGCGUAGAUAUAGGAAGGAACACCAGUGGCGAAGGCGACCACCUGGACUGAUACUGACACUGAGGUGCGAAAGCGUGGGGAGCAAACA